GGUGCAGGGCUACUAUGAACAAUAGGAUUCAGCUUAGAACUUUCUUCCUGAUAGAGGAGAUCGAUAAGUAAGCAGCUUUUCCCCUUCUUUGCUGGCAGACAGCGCAAUGUGUAAACUGACUUCCUGAAGGGAGUUUGCCUCCCAGGUAAAGCAUUAGUUGGGGUCAGGGUGAUUCUCCUUGGAAGGGAAGAAAGGCACACAGGACAGGAUUAAUAGGAAAUGCAAAAUCAUAGGGACUCUUUGGCCUUUAGAAACCCAUAGGAAAUUUGGAUUGAGUUUGGAUUGGAUUGGGUAGUGCCAGGAGUUGAAGGUGGAGAUACAGGAGGGCCACAUAGCGACUGGCUCAAUAAAUGGUGCAAGGGAAAAACAAUUCACGGUAUCUCUUAAGAGUCUGCAUCUGUGUAUGUGUCUUGUCUAUACCACAUGCAUCAUCUGUAUAAUGGAAUAAAAAUUAUGCUUAUGUCCCAGGACUGCUGUAUCAAAUGAGGUAAUGUAUGUCGAUUAUCAGCCUAUUUAUUGGAUUUUUUUUUUGAUGUUGUUCUUUAUGAGUUGUAAAACUGUAAUAGCAGUGACAGCAGAGAUACGGGCGCUUUUUUUUUUUUUUGGGUACUGGGGAUUGAACCCAGGAGUGAUUAACCUCUGAGGCACAUCCCCAGCCCUUUUUAAUGUUUUUUAUUUAGAGACAGGGUCUUUCUAAGUUAGCUAAGUUGUUCAGGGCCUUGCUAUGUUGCUGAGGCUGGCUUUGAACUUGCAAUCCUCCCGCCUCAGCUUCCUGAACUGCAGGGCUUACAGGAAUGCACCACCACACCUGUCCUGGGGCUGUUCUUGUUGGUUGUGAAGGUCAUAAUAUUUCUGCUGCAACUUUCCCCUCUGUGUCUGUGAUCAAUUGUGGAGAACCUGAAAAGGAAACUCUGGAGAGCCUGUUAUUAUCCCGCUGGUGCUGGAAUGAAUGGCAGUGUGCUCCUGUCGUGAUGUGCUGCUUUGCCAGAGGCCCAUAGCAAUAGAGCCACUCAAUCAUGAAUUGGAUCUCCAGGACUAUGAGCCAAAUAAACACUUUCCCUUUGUAAGUUAAUUGUUAUAAUGAUGGAAAGAUGACGCAUACGGCAUAUUUUCACUCCUCUGGAUCUUAGUCUCAUCAGCUGGCGUCUGUGGUUGCUGGAGUUGCUCAUGGACCAUUGACUAUGUCCUAGGAGUACUAGGAGAGGAUCCACGGAAAUCACUGGCUUCCAGACACAUGCCUCUCUGCUUAUUCUGUGGAGUUCAGACCUUCUUUUUUCUUGAUUAUUAUGAACAAUCACCUCAAUUCACAAAGUAUUCCCUUGGUCCUAUUCACCUACAAAGUCAGGGGAUUGAGGUUUUUAAAAAUUAUCAGGUGGCGUUCGUAUCUUCUAGGUCAAUGGAACUCUUAUUUUGUCAGCCAAAGUUGUCCUUCUUCCUUUUGGUGCUGUAUAAGCAGAACCUCAAAAGAAUGGGAAAUAAAAAUCUUGCCAGGAGUUUUUAAGUGGUAGCACUGAGAAGUGCUUUUCCAACUUGUGUACCUUUUGGUCCUUGUUAUGGGCUGAGUUAUGUCUCCCCUGACCUAAAUUUACAUGUUAAAGGAUUAACCCCCAGUACCUCAGGAUGUGCCUGAAUUUGGAAAUAGGACUUUUAUGGGGAUAAUCAUGGGAAACGAAGCCAUUAAUAUAGGCCUUAAUUCAAUGUGACUGAUGGCAAAAGGAGGAGAUUGGGAUACAAACCUCCAGAGGAAAUAUGGUCUACAAGUUAUGAGAAAAGCCUGGUGUAAACAUCUUCGAGAUACAGUGUCAAGAAAGUGAAAAGCAGGAAUUUAUAGUCCAAGUCUGAAGGUCAUUGAAGUGGACAGAUUAUCAGAAGAAAGAUAAUAGAGGUUAAAACAAACAUGAACCAAAUGAACAGAAACGUAGCAGAAGAAAUCAGGGAAAAAAGGCAUUGAUCACCAUUUUACAGAUGAAGAAACUAUGGCUGAGAAAAGGACAGGCAUGUAAAAAUUGAUGUGAUGCAGAGCAUAGACCCAGAUGGUCUGACCCUCAAGAUCAUGUUCAUAUGGUAUGUGACUAUGUGUUUUGGAAAUUCAUGGUAUUGUUUCUAAC